GAUGAACGSUGGCGGCGUGCCUAAUACAUGCAAGUCGAGCGAACAGACGAGGAGCUUGCUCCUCUGACGUUAGCGGCGGACGGGUGAGUAACACGUGGAUAACCUACCUAUAAGACUGGGAUAACUUCGGGAAACCGGAGCUAAUACCGGAUAACAUGUUGAACCGCAUGGUUCAACAGUGAAAGACGGUCUUGCUGUCACUUAUAGAUGGAUCCGCGCCGCAUUAGCUAGUUGGUAAGGUAACGGCUUACCAAGGCAACGAUGCGUAGCCGACCUGAGAGGGUGAUCGGCCACACUGGAACUGAGACACGGUCCAGACUCCUACGGGAGGCAGCAGUAGGGAAUCUUCCGCAAUGGGCGAAAGCCUGACGGAGCAACGCCGCGUGAGUGAAGAAGGUCUUCGGAUCGUAAAACUCUGUUAUUAGGGAAGAACAAAUGUGUAAGUAACUAUGCACGUCUUGACGGUACCUAAUCAGAAAGCCACGGCUAACUACGUGCCAGCAGCCGCGGUAAUACGUAGGUGGCAAGCGUUAUCCGGAAUUAUUGGGCGUAAAGCGCGCGUAGGCGGUUUUUUAAGUCUGAUGUGAAAGCCCACGGCUCAACCGUGGAGGGUCAUUGGAAACUGGAAAACUUGAGUGCAGAAGAGGAAAGUGGAAUUCCAUGUGUAGCGGUGAAAUGCGCAGAGAUAUGGAGGAACACCAGUGGCGAAGGCGACUUUCUGGUCUGUAACUGACGCUGAUGUGCGAAAGCGUGGGGAUCAAACAGGAUUAGAUACCCUGGUAGUCCACGCCGUAAACGAUGAGUGCUAAGUGUUAGGGGGUUUCCGCCCCUUAGUGCUGCAGCUAACGCAUUAAGCACUCCGCCUGGGGAGUACGACCGCAAGGUUGAAACUCAAAGGAAUUGACGGGGACCCGCACAAGCGGUGGAGCAUGUGGUUUAAUUCGAAGCAACGCGAAGAACCUUACCAAAUCUUGACAUCCUCUGACCCCUCUAGAGAUAGAGUUUUCCCCUUCGGGGGACAGAGUGACAGGUGGUGCAUGGUUGUCGUCAGCUCGUGUCGUGAGAUGUUGGGUUAAGUCCCGCAACGAGCGCAACCCUUAAGCUUAGUUGCCAUCAUUAAGUUGGGCACUCUAAGUUGACUGCCGGUGACAAACCGGAGGAAGGUGGGGAUGACGUCAAAUCAUCAUGCCCCUUAUGAUUUGGGCUACACACGUGCUACAAUGGACAAUACAAAGGGUAGCGAAACCGCGAGGUCAAGCAAAUCCCAUAAAGUUGUUCUCAGUUCGGAUUGUAGUCUGCAACUCGACUACAUGAAGCUGGAAUCGCUAGUAAUCGUAGAU
rnacentral:rRNA from 1 species